rnacentral:rRNA from 1 species
GACGAACGCUGGCGGCGUGCUUAACACAUGCAAGUCGAACGGAAAGGCCCUGCUUUUGUGGGGUGCUCGAGUGGCGAACGGGUGAGUAACACGUGAGUAACCUGCCCUUGACUUUGUGAUAACUUCAGGAAACUGGGGCUAAUACCGGAUAGGAGCUCCUGCUGCAUGGGGGGGGUUGGAAAGUUUCGGCGGUUGGGGAUGGACUCGCGGCUUAUCAGCUUGUUGGUGGGGUAGUGGCUUACCAAGGCUUUGACGGGUAGGCGGCCUGAGAGGGUGACCGGCCACAUUGGGACUGAGAGACGGACCAGACGCCUACGGGAGGCAGCAGUGGGAAACAUUGCACAGUGGGCGGGAGCCUGAGGCAGCAACGCUGCGUGCGGGAUGACGGCUUACGGGUUGUAAACCGCUUUCGCCGGUGACAUAGCGUGAGUGACGGUAAUGGGUAAAAAAGCACCGGCUAACUACGUG